rnacentral:rRNA from 1 species
UACGUAGGCAGCGAGCGUUGUUCGGAGUUACUGGGCGUAAAGGGUGUGUAGGCGGUUCUUUAAGUUUGGUGUGAAAUCUCCCGGCUCAACCGGGAGGGUGCGCCGAAUACUGAGGGACUUCGAGUGCGGGAGAGGAAGGUGGAAUUCCUGGUGUAGCGGUGAAAUGCGUAGAUAUCAGGAGGAUCACCGGUGGUGUAGACGGCUUUCUGGACCGUAACUGACGCUGAGACACGAAAGCGUGGGUAGCAAACAGG